AUGGAGGUGGCCGUCAGCGCAGCAUGGUGGGUGGUCACCAAGGCGCUGGCACCGGUCACCGACGGCCUGCUGGAGGCGUGGGCGGCCAGUGCCGGGCUCGGCCCCAACAUUGAUGCCCUCAAGAUGCAGCUGCUCUACGCCCAGGGGAUGCUCAACAACGCCCCGGGGCAGGGCAGGGACAUCACCAACCCUGCGCUCAAGGGGUUGCUGCACAAGCUGCGGCAGCUGGCCUACGUCGCUGAUGAUGCGCUCAACGAGCUGGACUACUUCCGCAUCCAGGAUGCGCUCGACGGCACCUACCACGCAGCAGCAAGCAUGGAUGACCGGUGCUGCCUCCAGGGCCUCGUCCUCAACGCUCGCCACACGGCCAGAGCUGUUGCCGGGAAGAUCAAGUCCAUGUGCUCCUGCUCGCGUGCUGCUAGCCCACUUGAUGACCAAGAAGAUAAUGGUGGCAGCCGUGGAUGCUUAUGUGUUGGGGGAUGCAGCAUGCCCAAGGUUGCCUGUGGUGCUGUUCAAGCUGCUGUUGGUAAACACUUCCCAUGCUGCUACUCUUCUCCUCAUACCAGUGAGUCGGCUGCAUCACCUAACAUGCCGGCUGCAACCGGAUGGCGACUCCUCUGUGGCGCCUGCCCACACAAGGCACGGACACAGAGAGUUCGCACCAUAGAGGAAACACCAAAACUGAAGUUUGAUAGGGUGGAAAUGUCCAAGAGAAUGAUAGACAUCAUAGAACAGCUGAAGCAUGUAUGUUCUAUGGUCUCCACCAUUCUCAAUCUGGAGCUACUAAGCUUAAGCCGUAUCCCAACCCAAGUUGGUCUUGCUAUGGAUCGGCCGAAAACCACCCCGCAAAUUAUAGAGCCUCAGCUAUAUGGAAGGGAUACCCAGAAAAAGGAAAUCAUAGACGGCAUCACUCAGGGUGAAUAUUCUUCCAAACAACUUACAGUCCUUCCAAUUGUUGGGCCGGGGGGUGUUGGGAAGACAACCUUUACACAACACAUAUUUGAAGAAGUGAAGAGCUGUUUCCAGGUUACCAUUUGGAUAUGUGUCUCUCUCAACUUCUCUGCAGAUAGGUUGGCACAAGAGAUUUUGGAACAAAUCCCUGCAGAUAACAGCAGUGAAAGCAAGAAAGGUAGCAAAGAAGAGCAAAUUGAACAAAGGUUAAGAUCAAAGAGGUUCUUACUUGUCUUGGAUGAUGUGUGGAAAUAUUAUGAUGAUGAGUGGAAAAAACUAGUAGCUCCGUUCAAAAAGGCGGGGACAGAAGGCAAUAUGGUUAUAGUCACAACUCGAAUUCCAGGGGUAGCAGACAUGGUCAGGACAGUUGACCAUUCUAUAGAAAUGGAACGUCUUGGUACUCAAGAUAUGAUGUCUUUCUUUGAAGCAUGUGUAUUUGGUGACCAACAACAGCCAUGGCAAGACCAUCCUGAAUUACAAGAUGUUGGGCACAAAAUAGUGUUAAAAUUGAAGGGUUUUCCUCUUGCUGCAAAAACUGUGGGUAGAUUGCUCAGAAACCAGCUCACAUUUGACCAUUGGACAAGAGCUUUGGAAAGUAAAGAGUGGGAGUCACAAGCUAGCGAUAAUGACAUUAUGCCAGCCCUCAAGCUUAGCUAUGAUUAUCUCCCUUUCCAUUUGCAACAGUGUCUUUCUUACUGUGCAUUGUUUCCUGAAGAUUAUGAAUUUCGUGCAGAAGAGUUGGUUCAUUUGUGGAUUGGACUUGGUAUUUUACACUCAGAUGGUCAAAAGAAAAGAAUUGAAGAUGUUGGAUUAUGUUACUUAACUGACUUGGUUAAUCAAGGGUUUUUCAAAAAGAAUGUACCGAGAUUUGGCAAUCCUUAUUACACCAUCCAUGAUCUACUACUUGAGUUGGUAGUGAAGGUCUCAUCAUAUGAGUGUCUUAGCAUAUCCAGCUCUAAUGUGAUGUCCAUACAAAUUCCCCCAU
rnacentral:rRNA from 1 species